CAAGUGACAUAUCAUGCUUACCAGAAAACAAGUGACAUAUCAUGCUUACCACUCAAGAAAUGACAUAUCAUGCUUACCACUCAACAAGUGACAUAUCAUGCAUACCAAUAAGCAAGUGACAUAUCAUGCUCACCACAAAACAAGUGAAAUAUCAUGCUUUACAGAAAACAAGUGACAUAUUAUGCUUACCACACAAAACAUGUGAUUCACGCUUACCGGGAAACGUCAUAUAUCAUACUUACCACGAAGAGGUCACAUAUCAUGCUAACCACAGAACAAGUGACAUAUCAUGCUUUCCA